rfam:Gossypium raimondii chromosome 6, whole genome shotgun sequence.
GGGUGCGAUCAUACCAGCACUAAUGCACCGGAUCCGAUCAGAACUCCGCAGUUAAGCGUGCUUGGACGAGAGUAGUACUAGGAUGGGUGACCUCUUGGGAAGUCCUCGUGUUGCACCCC